rnacentral:rRNA from 1 species
AAUAAAACAAUUAUUUUGCUAUGUUGUAUUUAAUUCUUAAUUAAAAUUUAUAAAUAAACUUCUGUAUAGAAGAUUUUUUAUUUAUUUAUUAAAAAUUAAUGUACCUUUUGUAUCAGGGUUAAUUUAAUUUAAUAAUUAAUUGAUUUUCUCGAAAUAAAUGAAUUUAUGUUAAUAUAUAUAUUUAUAUAACAAAAUAAUUUAUUAUAUUAAUAUUGUAAUUAUAAGUUAUUCGUCAUUUAUAUAUCUAGUUAUUUUAGAAAAAAAUUUAAUUUUUGUUUACAAGUUAGACUUAUUUUAUAAGGGAUAAUCUUUAUAUAUUAGUAUUAUUUACUAUUAAUGAUUUUUAUUAUUAUUUAUAUUUUAUAUUCAGUUUUUAAAAAAUUAAAAUCUUUUUGUAUGAUUUAAUUAUAUUUACUUAAUUAUAAAAUAAUUUUAAUAAAUUAUAAUUUAAUAUUCAUAAUGAUUAAAUUAGUAGUUUAUUAAAAUAAUAAAUAUGAACUAGUCAAAUAUAAUUUUCAAAUGUUUAUCAAAAACAUUUCUUUUAGUUUAAAAUUAAAAGUAAGUUCUGCCCUAUGAAAUUUAAAUGGCUGCAGUAAUUUGACUGUGCAAAGGUAGCAUAAUAAUUAGUUUUUUAAUUGAAAACUUGUAUGAAUGAAUAUAUGAGAAAUUUAUUUUAUUUUUAUUAAAAAUUAAAUUUUAUUUAUAAGUAAAAAAGCUUAUAUAAUUUAUUGGGACGAGAAGACCCUAUAGAACUUAAAUUAAAUUUUCAUUUAUUUUUUAAUUAUAAAUUAUUUUGUAAUUUUAAUUUUUACUGGGGUAGUAAAUAAAUUUAAAUUUUAUUUUMAUAAUUCAUUAAUUUAUGUUUGUUUUAUUUAUUAUUUUAAUUAUAAGUUAAAGUUACCUUAGGGAUAACAGCAUAAUUUCUAUGGGGAGUUCAUAUCUAUAUAGAAGUUUGUGACCUCGAUGUUGAAUUAAAAUAAAAAUGGGGGGUAGAUUUUUCAUUUUUAAGUCUGUUCGACUUUUAAAUUUUUACAUGAUUUGAGUUCAAACCGGUGUAAGCCAGGUUGGUUUCUAUCUUAUAAAUAAUAAUAUUUUUUAGUACGAAAGGACCAAAAAUAAUAUAAUUUAUAUUAUAAAAUAUGAAU